GUGCUCACUUUGACAGCACACAUACCAAAACUGGAGAGAUACAGAGAAGAUUGUCACGGCCCCUGGGCAAGCAUGACAUGCAAAUUCAUUGCGUUCCAUAUUUUU